UACGUAGGGUGCGAGCGUUGUCCGGAAUUAUUGGGCGUAAAGAGCUUGUAGGCGGUUUGUCGCGUCUGCUGUGAAAAUCCGGGGCUCAACCCCGGACUUGCAGUGGGUACGGGCAGACUAGAGUGUGGUAGGGGGAGACUGGAAUUCCUGGUGUAGCGGUGAAAUGCGCAGAUAUCAGGAGGAACACCGAUUGCGAAGGCAGCUCGCUGGAACGUUACUGACGCUGAGACGCGAAAGCGUGGGGGAGCAAACAGG
rnacentral:rRNA from 1 species